rnacentral:rRNA from 1 species
AUUGAACGCUGGCGGCAGGCUUAACACAUGCAAGUCGAACGAGUGGCGGACGGGUGAGUAAUGCUUGGGAAUCUAGCUUAUGGAGGGGGAUAACUACGGGAAACUGUAGCUAAUACCGCGUACCAUAGGAUGAGCCCAUGUGGGAUUAGGUUGUUGGUGAGGUAAAGGCUCACCAAGCCGACGAUCCCUAGCUGGUCUGAGAGGAUGACCAGCCACACUGGGACGGGGACACGGCCCAGACUCCUACGGGAGGCAGCAGUGGGGAAUAUUGCGCAAUUGGGUGAACCUGGAGCAGCCAAGCCGCGUUAAUGAAGAAGGGCUUCGGGUUGUAAAGUUCUUUUGGUAGCGAGGCGUUAACUACAGAAGAAGCACCGGCUAACUCCGUGCCAGCAGCCGCGGUAAUAC